CCUACGGGAGGCAGCAGUGAGGAAUAUUGGUCAAUGGGCGGAAGCCUGAACCAGCCAAGUAGCGUGAGGGAUGAAGGCCCUACGGGUCGUAAACCGCUGUUGCACGGGGGUAACACCCUCCACUUGUGGAGGUCUGCAGGUAUCGUGCGAAUAAGGGCAGGCUAAUUCCGUGCCAGCAGCCGCGGUAAUACGGAAGGCCCGAGCGUUAUCCGGAUUUAUUGGGCUUAAAGGGAGCGUCGGCGGGCGUUCAAGUCAGCGGUAAAAUCGCGCGGCGCAACCGCGCCCCGCCGUUGAAACUGGACGCCUUGAGUUCACGACAGGCAGGCGGAAUUCGUGGUGUAGCGGUGAAAUGCAUAGAUAUCACGAGGAACCCCGAUUGCGAAGGCAGCCUGCCGGGGUGCGACUGACGCUGAGGCUCGAAAGUGCGGGUAUCAAACAGGAUUAGAUACCCUGGUAGUC
rnacentral:rRNA from 1 species